GCUUAAAAAAAAGAAUAAAAAAUAAAAUAACCCAAAGCUUAUGGGAUUUGGAAUUUGGAAAUUGCCUUGGAAUGAUAGCAAUUUAGACUAGCCAAAUUCUCCAUUUCCACACGUAAGUAAGAGCUAGGAAUCAGAAUCUAUAGUUUUUAUCUUACUGUGUAAAUAACCGUGUGGUUUGUAUGUAUUACAACUUCAGCAAGUUGUGAUUUCCAGACCCGCGAAGGAAGGUGAGUCAGCGUGGCCCCACCUCCCUGCCUCCCAGGUGACAGGAGGAUAAACUUUGACCAGGGACAUGAGCCUGCCUGAGGAGUAAAGGGACCAGAGGGACAGUGGUUUCCCUGACUACCGGAUACAGUAGUUAAAAGCAGUGUUUGUCCACACCUUCCCUUCCACAUCCCCAUUUCCUCCAAGCCUCAGAGCGACAAAUUCAUCAUCUCUUGCUCUGAUUAAAGUUCAGAGCUGUCAUUUCCAGAUAUUUUGUUCAUUUGCUCUUCAGUAUAUUCUCAGAAAUGCUUCCCGGUGCAGAGAUGUUAGAGAAGAAGCAGGGACGUGCUGGUGGGGGGGAAAAAAAAAUCUCUGACUCCCAUUUUCAGGUGCAAAUUCUUAAAUGUCAAUACAGCAACGUAGCCGUCUUCUCCCGUCUGCUUUUAAUCAAAUGCUUUUCUCCGGCAGAGCCAUUUGUUUGCACAAUUAGCAAGUCCCAGAGGCAUCUUAACUUCCCUUUCUGUGCCCUGUUCUCAAGGGGCAGUCUCCCCUUCACACUAGGGCCAUGUGGGGCUUUUCUGUCAGGAGUGGGGUACAUGAUGAACUGAGCCACUGACCCCUCCAGAGGUCAGGGGAAAACGCCCAGGGGAGGAGAGCAGAGAGGUAGAAUUUUAGGCCCCAAGGACGGGAGGAGAUGCCGGGUUGUGUAUGGGGUCUGGUGGGGGUGUUUGGGGCCGUGCACCUUUCCAAGCUCCUUGGGCUGUGCCCUGGCAGGGACACACUCUGCCCUGAUUUGCCCCAUCCUCCGGGGCUCAGGAUAAGCUCUAGGUUUUGCCUCCCGGUGCUUCUGAAGAGUGCCCUGUUGCUUAGAGACAGGGCACGACGCCUGGAGUGAAGAUAAGGUUGUCAAGGAAACCAAGCCACAAAUUCCCUUGUUUUUCUUCCAGUUGCUGGACAGAAGAGUAAAGGAUUUUCGCUCUGACAACUGGGAAGGUCAAGAAGCCAAAUGACUUGUCCAGGAUUCCACAGCUGGGUAACGGUAGAGGCAGGACCAGAAGCAGGUCUCCAGAGGGAGUUGUGAUGUCCCUGCUGCUGUGCCACUCACUCUGCCUCUCCCAUCGACAAACACUUUUCAGUUGCUUGAAGGCACAUUGUCUUUACAUGAGGCUAACUGUUCCUUUUUCAGUCUCACCCUUGUGUUUCAGUUGCUUAGGCAUCUUUGCAAUAAAUGUAUCGAACCCUA